UACGGAGGGUGCAAGCGUUAUCCGGAUUCACUGGGUUUAAAGGGUGCGUAGGUGGGUUGGUAAGUCAGUGGUGAAAUCUCCAGGCUUAACUUGGAAACUGCCAUUGAUACUAUCACUCUUGAAUACCGUGGAGGUCAGCGGAAUAUGUCAUGUAGCGGUGAAAUGCUUAGAUAUGACAUAGAACAUCAAUUGCGAAGGCAGCUGGCUACACGAAUAUUGACACUGAUGCACGAAAGCGUGGGGAUCAAACAGG
rnacentral:rRNA from 1 species